GUGCUUGCUUUGGUGGCACAUAUACUAAAACUGGAACAACACAGAGAAUAUUAGUGCAGCCGCUGUAUGAGGACAAAAUGCAAAUUCGUAAAAUAUUCCAUAUUUUU
ensembl:snRNA U6 U6 spliceosomal RNA